ACCCAGAUGAAGAGUCCCAAAUAGGAUGAGACGCACGUCCUGGAU
rfam:Schistosoma mattheei strain Denwood, Zambia genome assembly, scaffold: SMTD_scaffold0000616